rnacentral:rRNA from 1 species
UCGACGAUGAAUCUUCUAGCUUGCUAGAAGUGGAUUAGUGGCGCACGGGUGAGUAAUGCAUAGGUUAUGUGCCCUUUAGUCUGGGAUAGCCACUGGAAACGGUGAUUAAUACUGGAUACUCCCUACGGGGGAAAGUUUUUCGCUAAAGGAUCAGCCUAUGUCCUAUCAGCUUGUUGGUGAGGUAAUGGCUCACCAAGGCUAUGACGGGUAUCCGGCCUGAGAGGGUGAUCGGACACACUGGAACUGAGACACGGUCCAGACUCCUACGGGAGGCAGCAGUAGGGAAUAUUGCUCAAUGGGGGAAACCCUGAAGCAGCAACGCCGCGUGGAGGAUGAAGGUUUUAGGAUUGUAAACUCCUUUUGUUAGAGAAGAUUAUGACGGUAUCUAACGAAUAAGCACCGGCUAACUCCGUGCCAGCAGCCGCGGUAAUACGGAGGGUGCAAGCGUUACUCGGAAUCACUGGGCGUAAAGAGUGCGUAGGCGGGGUAAUAAGUCAGAUGUGAAAUCCUGUAGCUUAACUACAGAACUGCAUUUGAAACUGUUACUCUGGAGUGUGGGAGAGGUAGGUGGAAUUCUUGGUGUAGGGGUAAAAUCCGUAGAGAUCAAGAGGAAUACUCAUUGCGAAGGCGACCUGCUGGAACAUUACUGACGCUGAUGCACGAAAGCGUGGGGAGCAAACAGGAUUAGAUACCCUGGUAGUCCACGCCCUAAACGAUGGAUGCUAGUUGUUGCCUUGCUUGUCAGGGCAGUAAUGCAGCUAACGCAUUAAGCAUCCCGCCUGGGGAGUACGGUCGCAAGAUUAAAACUCAAAGGAAUAGACGGGGACCCGCACAAGCGGUGGAGCAUGUGGUUUAAUUCGAAGAUACGCGAAGAACCUUACCUAGGCUUGACAUUGAUAGAAUCUACU